rnacentral:rRNA from 1 species
UAGGGAAUCAUCGGCAAUGGGGGCAACCCUGACCGAGCAACGCCGCGUGAGUGAAGAAGGUUUUCGGAUCGUAAAGCUCUGUUGUAAGAGAAGAACGUGUGUGAGAGUGGAAAGUUCACACAGUGACGGUAACUUACCAGAAAGGGACGGCUAACUACGUGCCAG